CCCCCCCGCUCCUGCCGCCCGCAGUACGUGAGGCCCAGCCCGGCGCAGCGGGAACCGGGACGGGCCCGACCCUGGCCGGGCUGCGCCGCCGCCAGGCUGCCCCGGUGUGCCGCUCCCUGCGCCUGCGGAGGGCGGGCGGCCCGGGAGGACGGCAGGCUCUGCGGCAGGGUGUGCCGGGCAGGCAGGGCCCCAACGUCUCGCCGCCGCUGCGGGAGGAGCGGGAGCGGCGGCCGCGCCGCAGAGGGCCCGGGUGGGCGGAGGGGGGGAAGCGGGGCGAGCUCCGGAGCGGCCCCCGGCGGGCAGCGCGGCCUCUGGCCACCCACAGGCCGUGGCGGGCGUUGUCGGUCGGCCGCUGCGGAGGCGGGGAAGGAGGCCCGGCUGGAGCGGGGCCCGGGCCGCAGGCUUCGCAGCGCGGCUGCAGCCCGGCUCUGGCUGCAGUCUCUUGGUGCAUUACCCUGAGACUUGAGCAACGCGCACCUGGGAAAUGUACCCCCGAGAGCGCGGUGCCAGAACAUUUCGAGCCUUAUCUCGCCGUGCUCCGGAAAGCCUCACCCACAGAGUCACUAAAUGUGACUCCCUCUGCAUCCAUUACAGAUCAGAAAAAUUCCCACCUUGCUCUGCAAGCCAGAGAUGCUUCAUCACCAGUAGCGCUGUCUAGAAGAACAGAUUUCCCCGUAACAAACCACAUACACCCUGAUCUUGUGCCGGGGAAGGACAGAUGGACAGCAAUUCUGAGCUAAAAUCUCACGUUUUACCAGGGUAUCCUCCAAGAUGCAUUGGGGAAAUUACUUCAGAUGAAAUUUUCAAACUUGCAAAUAUAUUUUCAGAGGCAUAUAGCAUACUUAAAAUCGACAAAUAGUUCCAAGAAAUAGCUGCAGUGUUGGCUGAGUUCAGUGAAAGACCUACCUGUCAUCUCAGAAAACCACAAGGCUUAUUUUGGGACCAUAAAUACAUUAUUAAACUUCAGGGGCCCAAGUCUUGAGCUUUCUGACCUAAGUUUGAAAGCUAGUUACCUGUCACAUUACAAUCCAAAUUAUCUACUUACAUAUUGUAUAUAUAUUUAGUUGGCGUUUGUACAGUGUUUAUAAAUGAAUAUUAUUUUAUAUUUAUCUACUCGUUACAACACAAAUCAGAGCAAUGGCUCUCACUUUAGACACUAAAGAGAUUUCACUCUUUGCAGUCGUUCUGUAAGCCAUAUAAAUAGAAUGUGCUUGGGAGGGGACUGGCAUGAUCAAACUCUUAAUAAAAAUUCUGUGACGUUUUCCCCUCAGACUAUUAAUUUAAAUUCUCUGUCCAUCUCUCUUUUCAGAAGUAAUUGUGUGUCCCCCAAAUUCAGAAAUAAAGGGGGAAUGCCAGAACGGGAUCUGGUUCCUUGAAAUAGUCAGAGACCUCUUCAUCCAGCCCAGUGCCUCCCAUCCUCUCUACCUCACUUGUGAUCAUAGGGAAUACAGAAAACAACACUGCAUACUUUAAUUUGGCCUUCAGCCUUGAAAUCUGAAGUUACUGUUUUGUGAUACGUUAGCGUUUUAGGCCUCCUUUCUGCUUAGAUGCGUUUAUUGUCUACGAAUCAAUCACAUGUAAACUAUUUUCAAACCCUGAUACCAUUUUAAAAAUGUGUAAUACAUACCUAGAUGAGUAGAAUACUUUUCAGGGAAAGCAAUAAAUACCAGGGUUAUUGUUAUGCAUGCCUCCUUGUAUCUCUGUCAUGUGAAACAGGAGCAAAUCCUCACAUAUGUUCAGGCUGUGCUGGAUGCAGAUGGAUGAGACAUCAAGGUGGCUUCAAGCAGUUUUACUCCUCCCCAUGGCCCCUUUGGUUCAGUUUUAAGGAUUGCUCUGACGUUCCCAACUUCUUCACAGCCUCAGAGGUGCGAAUCACUGCAGACAAGUUCUUGACCAAAAAAUUCGUCACGCACUCUAGAUUUGGGGUAAAAGUGGUGUAGCACCGCUCAAGGUACGUGUAUGUCGCACCCUCAGAUCUGGAGCGGAGCAGAGUGCUGGUGCAUCUGUGUGGAGGAAAACCAUCUUUGGUGAAGAUGCAAGCCUGGGUCCUGGCAACGGAACGCCCACACACGUGUAGUGCUGGGCCUGACUUACCAAGGCCUUUCCUUGGCGUCUGAGCUUUAUCCUCACAGGAUCUUGGAGAGGCAAAGCGUCUCGACACCCAGCUUCAUGAGUCGGUUACUUGGGUGCCAGAGAUCAAGGAAUUGAGUGAGAUGUGGUAUAUGAACAUUUCUGUGAAGCAGAUCCCAGGAGAUAUGAUGAAAAAUAUAUGGAAGGGCUGUACGGAGACAGCAUGUUCUGCCUGAGUCCUGUUCCUGGAGUUUGCUACUGGCUACCUCAGGAGCACAGAGGCUGUAGGAAAUGUGAGGCCCACAGGGUAAAUAAAACAUAGGAUCUUUCAUUAUGGCUUAAGGGUCUGCCAUGGAGCAAGGAUUUGAAUGCAAGUAUUUCAGGUCCUAGAGAACCUGGCUGCCAUACCGCUUGUUUCUAUAUAUGCCCACUAACGUACUGGCUAUCUAAUUUAUAAAAUUCUUUCUUUUAGUCACUUUCUAUUUUCUCUAAAGGUAGUAGAAGAGGUGGUCAUUCACAGCAUCUUCUCUCCGCCAUGUGUUUACUGUGCUCCCUGGUUCCUUGAUCUCUUUCUCUCCCUUUUCUCUGUUCUUAUGUGUCUCCUUUUUUCCAUCUGCAUUUUCCUCCAGCAGCACCCAUUUCCUGUGGGUUUCAUCACCACCCCCACCCUGCUUCCAUCUGUUGAAGAGAUCAGCCACGAAGUUAACUUGCAAUCACACUCCCAGUGAAAUUACACCAACACGUACAGCAGCAUUACGAGGCAUUAAAGCGAACACCCCAGUGAAAUUAGUGGGAGAGAGGGGAGUUAAUCUCUCUCACAAACAGUUUGUCAGCAGUUUCAGCUUUGUCUGUACUGAAGAACCUGCCACCCUGAAGAAGGCCUUCAUCUCCAGUUCCAACUUCAAAUCAUGCAGCCAAUGGCAAGGGGAUAAAACUAAGUUGUACAUCAAUAUUUUACCACCCAGUUGUACUUGGAAGGCCCACUUAGCCCUCAACAAGCAAAAACUUUUCUGUGUGCAAAAUUUCAAGUUGCUGAAUGAGACAUUCCUGUUUCUGAUAUCCUGAGAACAUCUACUGAUCAGACAACCCAAAAUGCUGAGAAAUGGGGUGACCGCUACUCCAGCUGCCCUCACCUCACCUAGAUGGCAGCGGUUUGGAAAAUACAGAGGUUUGUUGACUGUAUGGGAUGGAACACACCACCUCCAGUAUAAACACGGUUGUGGGAAUAGCUGCACUCUUUCUUUACACCUUGCUGUGUCUCUUGUGCCUGAUCCUUGCCGCUCUCACACCUGGGCUGCAUGGUGCUUGCAAGCACAGGGGUGGCCCUCCUGCCCUAGGACAGGGGAUUCCUCCCACUUCUUCAGUUUCACUCUCAGUGCUGAAGGGGAUGCAGGCAUACCCAAAUCAGCAUUUUGGUAACUCUCGUACAGUCAGCAAGGCAGCCCUGGCAGCGCGGAGCUUUAUAGGAACUGUCAGGCCCACUCAAAAACCUAUUUGAGUUUGCAGUUAGCCGAUACAGGACUAUGCGGCUCCUCUACUCAAGGCUAGAUGUUGUAAAGCUAGUUCGGGUGACCUAAAGCUGAGUCUUUAACUGUAUUGUGACCAUUCAGUAAAAUGAAACAAGAUGGGAAAGUCCAAAAAAGUAGAUAGGUGCACUCACAUAAAACUGAGAGAGGCUGGAGGAAGACGCAAGAUAGUCAAUCUAGACUAGGAUUAAGAGUAGAAAGCCAGUGGGACUCACAAUCUUUCAUUUUUUAGGUAUUUUUUAAAGCACUAAUUAACUCCUUCCAUUUUAUGAGGAUUUCUGAUGGAACAUUGUCCAUAAACCUGCAGUAUUUUCUGGACUCCUAUGAGGAAAACAUAGCUCUAGGUCUUUUUCUCACCAGCAUAUCAUUCUGGAAGAUGUGAAAGCUGCCUGGGCAGAGGUAGUAGGAGAUCCCCUUUCUAAAUCAUGGUAUUGAAGUACAAUAUUAGAUGGUCCUCAACACUAAUUACAAACAAGAUCUUGCUUUUUCUGUGUUCCAUUUUCUGAAAUGCCUCAACAGGAGGGAAAGCAUAAACCCCGUAUUUCCUCCAAGACAACAGAAAUCUCACAGUCAUCAUCUAUACUACAGUCCUGCUUUUCCAGGACUGGAAAUAAUAACAUAAGACUUACAAGAGGUAACACGAAGUCCAGGAAAUUGCAGAAUGUGUUCCAAUGUUUUCAUAUUCUGCAAGGGCUCCUUUUCUUUCCUUUGAUGAGCUGUAAGAGAAAGUCUUCAAGACUCACCUGCAAUUCCACGUGUGGACCAGAAGCCUUCAUCCAUGAGAACUACCACACGGUUAUUACUUGCAGCUGCACUGUGUGAGUUGCAAGCCUUUUGAAUUACAUGCUGCAUGCCUGAGGACAUGGUAACGAGCCUCAGUCCCCAACAGAGACUCCCUUCAGUUCAGUGAAUACAACUGAGGAAGUACUUGCAAAUGUGCGCUGGCUAGGAUUUUGCCAUUUUCAGUGGGAAAAUGCAAACAAAAUAUGGUUAUUCACCCACCAGACCAUGCCAUUGUCAUGGGUUGGUUUCAGUUUGCCCAAAGCCAAGCCCACAAAAUAUGGAGUGAAGGAGGAGUACAAUGGACUUAAUAAGCUUGACAAAAUGCAUCCGAGCAACUGUUUAAACUUCCCCUCGUGUGGAAAUCUAGGAAGACAGUGGUCAAGGAAAAACUUGGUAAUUCUCCAUUUUGAUGGGAAGAGAUGGCUAGAGGAAAAUAUAUGCUUUUCCAGGUCUGAAGACAGUUAGUUUUGGUGGCUUUCUACAUGGGAGGUUUUCAUCCUAGCAUAUUUUUAAUUUAUUAGCAAACAAAAAACCAGAAUAAUAGCUACCUCCUAUUAAAAAAUUACCGGGGGAGGCAAAGCAGUGCUUAUAAUAGAGUUAUUGCCGCAACCUUAAUUAGGGCACAGUGCCAAAUACCUCAGUGAUGAAAAACAAAUCAAUGUAAUGAUGCUUUCCCAUUGCCUUGUUUUGGGGGAAUGAAACGUCACAAAACAUAUUGCACACUUCCUAUUGAGAACCAGGGCAUAUGGGACUGAUCUACAACAGAAGGCAAAAGGAUUUUGUUUAAAAUUGGUGCAGGUAGACAGACAGCUGCUGAAGGAACUGAAGGUUAAAAUACGUUUUAAUUUUCUAAUGGUAGCAAAGUAUGAAGAACUUAUUGACUAUAACAUUUCAAAUAUAGUAUAGAAUCUGACUAGACUAAAUGUAUCUACUUCCCUUUUUCACCCAGAUAGACAUUGUUUCACCUAAACUGAAACCGCUCUAGAAAUUCACACUAUGUCAUUUAGUCUGUGCUCUAAGGUCCUGCAUGCUCAAAGUGUUUUUGUCCACAUACUGACAGCCGAAGAACCCCACCUCUGUUGAAGGUGAUAGGCAUUUCACAGGCUUUCUUUCAGUGGGUCACAUCCUGAGCAUCUCAUUCACUUUUUCCUCUAUCCGUACUCGGCCAUGCUUUCAGAGGAGUUUAUCCACAUAAGGGCUGACUAAACGCUGAGAAACCAGUUCAGAGUUUGGCUGUCUUUUAUAAAUAAUGAUUCAAAGGUUUGAUUUAGCUACAGAUGAGCGUAAGCCACAAAAAUUGCAUCUGGCUCCUAACUGUGUCAACUCCCAUGGCAGAGAUUUUUUUUUUCCCAGCCAAAGCUUGGCCUGAAAGUUCAUGCAGAAAGACAAACUGUGAAUCAGAAGCUGGUAUCAGUGCUCCAGGUGAAGUGCCUACCAAGAUAGCCUGCAGCCACAUGCCAGCUUGCCAUUGACCUUUUAUCUGCAUAAAUAGUCGUGACCUUUGGGCUGCUCAAAUUAGUGCUCGCUGCUCGAGCAGUCAAGUAUCACAACCCUGUUCUGAUCAGGACACAUCUCAUUGCCUCCAACUGCUCCUACUGUCUCCUUGGCGGGGCGAUGGAGGUAGGUGGGGGCACGGGGCAGCCUUCUCACAUCUAGGGACACCCUCUGCCUCAGGGGAAAUCCACCGCUGGCUGGGUAAAGACCAUAUGGAAGCCUGACUACAUCAACUGAGCAACGUGGAGAGCACUGAGUGAAGGAGCUGACAGUCCGUCUUUGCAUGGACACUUUUCUAUAAAUAAACAAUAAACCUUCUACAAACCUUUUCUACAAUAAACCUUCACCUUUGCCCUUGCUUUAAUUUAUUGCCCCCUCUGAUUAUCUUUCAUCAUGUUUAAAGAAAGUCUUAGAAGAGUUUUAAAGUCAAAAGAAAUAAAUCGCUACCAAAAUAGUUAUUCUUUUGCUAAGGCAAAAGUGAGUUGUUUUUCUUAAAAACUGUAGUAUAUCACAAAAUCACAGAUCUAUUUAAAAUAUCAUCUACUUUUUCUUCAGUGGACUGUAUGCUGUAUAGGGUUUAAUGCCCAUUAUUUUCUCAGUGGAGCAGAGCUAGCAUGCUCUCUCAUAUAAAUAAACAUUUAGUCUUAUUUCAAAA